rnacentral:tRNA from 1 species
GGGUGUAUAGCUCAGUGGUAGAGCAUUUAACUGCAGAUUCAAGGGGAGUUGGUCAAAACCUACACCCA